UGUAUUAAACAGCAACACAGACAUUGUUGUUUGACUUGUUUCUCUUCAUUUUCACAAACUGACUAGCAGGCAACCAAGCAUUCAAGAUCUAGAGCAAGAUUUAUUUUACCUAUUCCACCAAUUCCAUUGAUCCUGGUUUCAAGAUCUGAAAGUGAAUCUGGGAUGUAUAGGAUUGGUGUAAUAGGUAAAACAACACUUGCACUAGAAGCAAAAUAUAUAUUUGUUUGCACUUUGUAGAGGGUAACCUUUUUAAUUUCAUUAUCUUUUUUCUUAAUUUUCAAUCUUGAACUUAUUCUUAUUAAAUUUCAGUUUUGAAUUUGUUUUGAUGUUGUCAAUUAUAAGUUUUUGUGUAAUUCUAAGUAAAUACAGUAGUAUAAUUUUCAUUUUAGUGGAUCUCACCGUUCUUGCUAACAUAUUGAUAAAUUAUAUACAUCAAUUAAUUAUUUUAUUCCUUAUUAUAGUACUGUGAAUGAGUUAUGACUCUUUCUUAGGUACUUAUACUUGGGCGGUGAAAAUAUAAAAUUAGGAGUAUGGAACAACUAAACAAAUUAAGGUUGCACUUACAGCUUGUAAGUUAAUAUGUGUAUGGGUGUGGCUGUGUGGGGAUAAGUUUUUACUUCUGGUGCCUCUAAGGCAUGUUCUGGUUUGUUGACUUGUGUGUGAGUGUGAUUAAUUAUGAAGUACCGGCACAGUCACAACACUGAGUCACCGACAGAUCGAGAUCAGUGAUAAUUUAAAAAAAUGAAUUAAUUAAAUGUAAUCACAUAUAUAGGUGUUAUGUCAGUGUCUGUCUUUGAUGUCGGUGGACAGGUGAUUAAUCCACACUUUUGUUGUAUACUUUUUUGUUAUGUCUCUUCUUUGUACAUCUCGUGCUAGAGUAGACAUUUGAAUACAAAAGCGACACUGUCCAAUCAUAUAUUAAUGAUUCAUUGGUCUGCUUUUUUUCUUCUGUUUAUGAAGCAAUUUGAACUAAAUUUCAAGGUGAUUAAUUUCUUCCUAGGUGACCAAUUUAAGGGUUUAAUCCCGUAUUAACUACGCCUCACCGGAAUGGUUCCACUGCUACCUUAACCAACCUCAUGGGAGCCGGCGAGUAGGUCGCGACAGACCCCAGAGAGAAGUUGUAGAGCUUAAGGGGAUAAACCAAUUGCUGGUGUCUUGAGUUGUAGGUCACCAACCGGCAAGUACAAGGCCUGUUGUUUAUUUCCUUUUAGAAUUGUUCACCACACAACUCAAGACACCGACAAUUGCAGAAAAAUAUUUCAUCAACUGAUAAAACCUGGCACCCAAUCAGCUUGAUUCGAUACCAAUACCUUUUAACCAAUCUCAACACUGCAGAAACACCGGAGUCCGGAACAGCAGAGCUGAAUCGACGAAGAGGACAAGACAGAAACAGCCGAGUAAACCAUAAAUUACAUUUGUCCCGAAAUUUCACUCUACAGAGAUCCAUACAGGUUCACACCUAAACACAAACACCAAAUUAAGACUCCUACUCGAUAGAGUUACUGAUCACUGACCAAGAAAAAUUAACCAACCAACCCAGAACUUGAUCCUAGUUCUGCCUGAUU
rnacentral:lncRNA from 1 species